rnacentral:rRNA from 1 species
CGGCAAGAGCUCAAAUUUGAAAUCUGGCCUUCUGGUCCGAAUUGUAAUUUGUAGAGGAUGCUUCGAAUGUAGUCUGGUCUAAGUUCCUUGGAACAGGAUGUCAUAGAGGGUGAGAAUCCCGUCUGCGACUAGGUGUCUAUGUUCAUGUGAAGCUCCUUC